GUUUUAAUAAUUUAACAAAAAUAUUGGUCUUGUAAACCAAAAAUAAGGAAGACUUUUAAAACU
rnacentral:tRNA from 1 species